rnacentral:lncRNA from 1 species
UGUUUCCACUUCUGAUCGUACUCAGCCAGCUGCCCAGACUUACCCUCGCAUUUCCUCUUUGUACCAGAAGCCUAAAGGAUUCAGAACAUGCCCCAGAAGAAGUCUUUGCAUCAAAAGAAGCAGCGAGCAUCUUCAUGCACCGCCGUCUCCUGUACAAUAGGUUUGAUUUAGAACUCUUCACUCCUGGGGACCUGGAGAGAGAGUGCUAUGAGGAGUUUUGCAGUUAUGAAGAAGCCAGAGAGAUUUUGGGGGAUGAUGAAAAUACGAUGUUAACAAAGAGAAAUUCGAUGUUAUGAGCCUUCUGACUGGGUUGACUGUCGCUGGCGUGUUCCUAGUUGUUUUCGGCUUACUUGGCUACUAUCUAUGUAUCACCAAGUGUAACAGGCGGCC